rnacentral:lncRNA from 1 species
UAAAUCAUAAACAAUAACACUUUCCAUGUAACACAUGUUCUUGCAAGUACAUUUGAUACACAGUUUUGCCAUUGCUUAACGCUUGGUAAUGUCAGCUAUUGCACUCUUCCUCUCAUUCAAGUAUAUGCAUGUAUACAUAUUUCAACAAAAGAGAGCUACCUUCCUGCUGGCUUCAAUUUGCUUUCUCUAUAUGCAUGUAUGAGUAAGACUAGGGAAUACAGACCAGACCAGUCCAGAAAAAAUGAUGAUCAGGUCUGUAACCCAUCUCCUAUGAUGUUAGUCCCGUAACGUCCCUUGGAAUCAGAAACAAAAAUCCGAUAGGUAAGAGAGUUCCGAUCAGCCGAACAGCUAGGCCGAGCGCCAGAUUGUCAAACUGUACCGACGAGAUGUUCAAAGCUGGCGUCAAUGCAGCUCCAAGGAAUGAACCUAAUGUCGAACUGAGGUUGUUAAUGGACAUGAACAGAGCAAACAGUGUGCCCUCGAUUCCAGGCGGGCAAAGCUGUCCUGAGAGGAUUAGGAACGGCAUCAUCCUGCCAAAUGAAAACAAUAAAGUUAGAAACGCUAUUGCGUAAAUGUGUAGGUAAGGUGUCUGAUCUUCAGCCAUGAGUGCAAUAAUGGAUUCAUACUGGAUAGAUUGAACAAUUUCUUCAUUUUUUCGGUUGCUCUUUUGCAAUUUUGAUUAAGAGAACAGUAUGAACCUACUAGCCAAUGUCAAUUAUCAUACUGGGUAAAAGUGAAGAAUUUCCUCCGUUGCGUAAAAGAACAUACAGUGAUCUAAAGCAAUUAAUGACAGACAGGUCACACUGAACCAUGAGCUCAAGAAGCAUUCAUGAGCGCCACUUGAUUGACACUCGCCCAAAUAAAGGGAAAUAAAAUAAGAGUAUGCCUGGAGUAUCUGUCUAGAUUUAGUUGAAAUAAAUAAGUUUAAGUUGGUGCCUAAUGAGUUACCACAACACUAAAAUCUUCUAAAUACAAGAUUAGUCAAUGAAGGAUCAGUAACUCUGGGCAGCAACUUAGCAUGUAUAACAGAAACGCAUCUCAACUGGUUCUCUAAACUACAGGUCAAGCAGAUCACUCAGUUUAUGGUUUGCAAUCUACUCCCUCCGUCCCAUAAUAUAAGAUCAUUUUGCAAGCUUGGGAUGGAGGGAAUAGUUCAUAGGAGUAUGAAAGAAAUGACAGCUAGAGGAUAUACUUGAAUUGGUUGAUUGCAUCGGCCAAAGCAGAGCCCCACAGCACCAUGUAUUUGUCUGCUAUUCCAUACUGAAUAUGUAAUCUUGACACCAGUAAAAUGUCCAAUACAGUAAUUAUCACAAGGCCAACAUGUGCAAACCUGUAAAAUAAGGACAGCAGUUAUUAAAGGUGGCACAUGUAAGUACCUAAUAACUUUAAAAAAGUGAAUAGAUUUGCAUCGUAGCCAAUUACGCCCCAAGAAUUAUGUCAGUUUUUUAACAACAUUAAUAAAAGAGCAUACACUCACUAAAACACUGACCAAAAGGUGAUCAAUAAAUGGCUUAUACCAAAAAUACCAAGAUGAGAAUUUAGUGCAACUCAUUCAAAUCAUGGACAGCCAACUUACACAAAAGUUUAUAGAAAGUUUCAGUUAGUACAUUAAGCAUAUAUACAUAAUAUUUCAACUUCCUUUAAACAAGCUAUGGCACUAAUAUAGAUAGUGUUUUGACAUUUGCAGAAGAUAAACAGCUUGAAAAAAAUGACUUACAUAAGAAUAUUCCUGAGUUUUGUAUGCUUUAAGUAGCGGUUGUAGAUAUAUGUGCCAAGCAUUAGACUGAACCACCCAAUCACACGUGCAGUCCCUAGGAAGGAUGCCUCCAGAUGUAGAACCUCCAUUUGAUAAUAGAACAUAACUGUUGAGAUAUUUGGAACUGCUGCAUUUGAAAUGAAAAACCAUGCCAUAGGUCUAGAGAAAAGAAGAAAGGAAGUUACCGGUUAGGCUCUUCAGUGAAAGAGGCAAACAUCAGAGAAAAUGAAAUUGCAGGGUUAAUUACCGCAAAAUUGCUGGCUGCUUAAAAGCAGUGCAUAAACUGACUAAGGCUGAUUUCAGAGAUGAGUAUAAAUCAACUGAUUUAUUGUGCUUCUCAUGAGCUUCAGAUCGUUUGGAUAAUGAUCUCCUUUUGCUCUUUUUACGAGCAACCUUUCGCUUCCUAGUGCCCUCAUAUUUAAAAGAUUCACCUGAGCCUUGUCCAGCAAAAGCACUAUCAAUAUUCUGACCAUCAACAUGAUCAUGUGCGGCGUUAUCUGUCGUGCUUUCAAAUCCUUUUGGAGAUUCCUUAAGGAAAACACAUGUAACUAGUUGGAACAGUGGAAGAGCAGAGAACAUAAUAUAAAUAGCAUUUAUUGGGAGAUUGGACAAUGCGUAUCCUCCCAAUAAGCUCCCAAAUAUCCCCCCUACAGCCAUUGAUGACCAAGAUAAUGACUGGAGAUCACCAGCAAAUUCUGGCCUGAAAAGAGAAUAAUUCAGGUUUCAAAGCAUUGUAUUGGAGUACUUGCUAUACAAGGUGAGACAAGAUGCACAAAAUUACUCACCCUGCUGAUCGAACUGCCUCUGCAAUCAUUGCAUCUAUAACAACAUCUGUCAUGGCAGAUCCCAAGUUCUGUACAAUCAACAUUAGCAUAAAAAGAUUGCUUGAGCUCCUCAAAUAUUCUGAUAGCCCAAUGAUAAGCCAUGGAAAUAGAGAAAGACCACUAGAAAAGACCACUAGAAAUGAAAAGAUCUUAAUCUUUGGCACCCCGCGGCGAAGCUCCCCUCCCUAGGGUUCCCACCCCCGCCGCCGCCGGCCGCCGGGCGCGCGCCUCCCGGCCCGCCCCGCUCCCCUCCCCCUCUCCCCUUCCCCCUCUCCUCCCCCCCCCUCCCCNNNNNNNNNNNNNNNNNNNNNNNNNNNNNNNNNNNNNNNNNNNNNNNNNNNNNNNNNNNNNNNNNNNNNNNNNNNNNNNNNNNNNNNNNNNNNNNNNNNNNNNNNNNNNNNNNNNNNNNNNNNNNNNNNNNNNNNNNNNNNNNNNNNNNNNNNNNNNNNNNNNNNNNNNNNNNNNNNNNNNNNNNNNNNNNNNNNNNNNNNNNNNNNNNNNNNNNNNNNNNNNNNNNNNNNNNNNNNNNNNNNNNNNNNNNNNNNNNNNNNNNNNNNNNNNNNNNNNNNNNNNNNNNNNNNNNNNNNNNNNNNNNNNNNNNNNNNNNNNNNNNNNNNNNNNNNNNNNNNNNNNNNNNNNNNNNNNNNNNNNNNNNNNNNNNNNNNNNNNNNNNNNNNNNNNNNNNNNNNNNNNNNNNNNNNNNNNNNNNNNNNNNNNNNNNNAUCCAGCGGCGCGGCGGCAGUCUCGCGGGGCGGCGGGGUGGCCUGCUGUGGCGGCACUCCGGCGAUCCUCGGGCUGCGCGCUGCGGGGCGGCUGCGGUGCUCCCGUCUCGGGAGGUGGCGCGCGACCGGUCUCGGGCCGGAUCCGUCCGGAUCGGGCUUCGGGGGGCAGCCAGUGGCGCCUGACUCCGGUGGUGCGUGCCCGGCGGCUCCGGCGCUUGGAGCCCGCCGGGCGACGCGGGUAGGGCAGCGGCCGGGCGUGGCUGCUGCUCCGGCCGUGGGCGGCGACAUGGGUAGGUCUCGGUGGCCUACCGGUGUCGUGGCGGCUUCACGGUGACUCGACGGAUCUCUCCGCGGCAACGGCCGGCUCCUCCGGCGUCGGUUUGUCUGCGUUCAGGCCGUCUCGUCCUUCACCCCAUCUCGUCGUCGCCCGGGUGCUACGCCCAUCAAAGGGCUGGUCCUUUCCCAGCUGCGAUCCACCGCUCGUCUCGCGCCCGAUGCCGCAGGACAGAGCUCGUCUCGCGCACGAUGCAGCAAGACCGAGCUCGUCUCGCGCACGAUGCAGCAGGACCAAGCUCGUCUCGCGCCCGAUGCAGCAGGACCGAGCUCGUCUCGCGCACGAUGCUGCAGGACCGAGCUCCUCUCGCGCUUGGGGUAGCAGGAUGGGUCGGUGGAUGCCGGUUCUGGCCGACCUAUUGGGUCUCGACGCUGGGGGUUGCCCAGGGGCGCGAAAGGUGGGACCUUUCCGCUCGUCUCUUUCAUUGGGGUGUGCCGGGUCACGGGUGAGGUGGUGUCGAGGUCUUGGAUGCUGGGGCGGCGGCCCUGGUGGUGGUGGUGGCGCGGUGCUCUUGGACAUAGCCCGCGCCUUGGUGCUGCCCGCUCAUCAUGGCCGUGUGGGCGGCGUGGUUGCCGGGGUGUGGCGUUCGGUGGCGGUGAAUGUUGGCCGAGGUGAAAACCUGCUCUAUCUUCGGACGGACCGGCGGCGGCGAAGAUCGCUCCCUUCUUGAAGGCGUCGUCGCGGCUCUCAUUGCCCAUCAUGCGGCUCCGGGGGAAACUUUGAUCCUUGGAUCGGGCGGUGGCGGCGCUCCGGCGUCGUUUCCUUCCUGAAGGCGCCGCCUUGGAGCGCAUGGUUCGUCAUAUGUAGCUUCAUAUCUUCGGGGCGGUAGUGCUAGGAGUAGUGUUGCUGCGCUCAGCGCCUUUGUAUCCCGUCCUGGGUGUGUGCGUGUGUUGCGGUGGCGUAGCGUGUGGUUGUACUGGAUGCUUGUGGGUUGUUGCUUUAUAUAUAAAGCGGGGCGAAAGCCUUUUUCGGUAAAUGAUCAAAUAGGGUACACGCUUCCUCUGCUUAAUUGGAAUACAGUCCGACACAAUCCUGCAAGCACAAUUGAUAUAUGGGUAAGUAAAUAAAACCAGGAUUUUUUUUAUUGAGCGUUCAGGAAUAUGUCCAGUAAUGCAUGUACCAACGCAUAUAUGGAUGCUGUACAGCUGUCAGCAACAAGUUGUGAACCUUUAUCCACAACAGGACAGCUAAUGUACUGAACAUAGCCAAAUGGCAAUGCUGCAAGAUAUUGGUAGACAUAGUUGGAUGAGAGAUUAUUUUUGGAGAGAAAAGAUUGGUUGUCUCUUCCUGAAACAUAGAUACAUGGCAUCUCUAUCUAUAUAGUGGAUGCUUAGAUCUUUUGACUUUUCCUAGCACGAUACAAACUCCGCAUGGUUUGACUCCUUUAAUCCUACACUUGCUAAUACAAUAGUUUUUCCUACAAGACUCUCCUUCCUCCCGUUUCCUUGGUGCUGCAAAUCCUUGUCUGACACGUGACCAUCUUCUGCUACAGGCCUACGAUGCACCUUUGUCCUUGGCCUCCUUGCGAGACAGCUGACUGCAACCGAACUCUCACUGGCUUGAUGCAACAUACUAAUGCGUAUAACAACACCACUACCAAAAAGCAGCGCAACUCUGUGGACACGGAAGUACUAGGGCAAUCAUAGAUCAUGGACACUAGCUAGAAAUCCGGUUAUGAGUUUGAUAUUACACGGGCCUAUGUACUAGAACCGCUGAAUGCCUUAAUUUACAGCGACAAAGGUAUUGAACAACAGAUAUGGGAAAUACUUUCUGUCAUGUGUUCCCUUUUGCAUUUCCAUGUUACUGUCAUGUGCCCAUGUGUACAAAUGAACUGCUCUUGUUAAUCAAUUUUCUAUUAAAGUAACUUGAAUACAAGCUAUGUUCAGAUUGUUAGUGAUUGGUUCUAUUCAUGGUAAUCUGUAAUUAAUCAGAAAUUGAAAAAAAAAACUUUAGCUCUAGUGGAAUAAUUAUUACGUAUCUAUAGCUCCUUAAAAGUCCAGUAAUAAACUUGUGUUGUGGUGGAUGCCAAUAUCAAACAAUAGCUAAGCUUAUGCCUGAAAAAGGCGUAAUUCUGAAAACUGAGAUGUAACACUCAUGAUAUAGGCCAAGGACAAGAAUGAUUAUUUUGCAUCAACCAAGGUUAAAUUCUUGGUAAGCUUCGCUUCAUAUAAAGCAACGAACAAAAGGUAACAUUACCCAUAUAUAGGUUUUAUGCUCCAAGGGGAAAAUGCAGCAGAGACCAAAAACUGUGAUGUUGAGGGUGACAGCUUCAUGAUGUCCUUCAUUUGAUAUGAGACAGUUGUCCAGACAAAGGAUCUGAAACCCUAAAACAUUGAAGAAUACAUAUUAGAACGUUUAAAAUGUUAACAUGUUCUUAUUUGUGCAGCAUUCAAGAAAAACAAACAGAUUUGAAGGAGGGCCUCUUUAGUUAUGCUGAAUUCAGACAAUGGAAACAAAGCAUGCAAGUUGAACAAGUGCUAAGGAUAUGAAUAAACAACCUUGGCCCCCUACAUGACACCUUAAGGUAUUUGACAUGACACCAAGGCUCACUAUCCUGUGCAAUUAUCACAUCAAGUAGUUUUAAGGCAUCAGAAUCCAAGGCAAGACUCGCCAACACUUCUGUAGUUUCACAUAUCCAUGGGGCAGAGAAUGAUUUAUCGAUUCUAACCGAAUUUCUUAAGCGCAACUGAGUCUCUAUACAUACAGUAACUGAUUUGGCAGCAUAUAAACGCUAGACGUCCAUCUCAAGCUACUCUGGCAGCACGGGCUUCACAUUCACAACAGGAUAAAAUUAGCGUGCUGUCUACAAAAAGAAUAUUCAAAAUAGGGAUCCAGGCAUCCUUCAUCUUGCGUGUUCUGGAAACAUAAACUACGAAAUGAUCCUACGGACACGCAUAUGAGUGGCAGAUCCAUCUAAAUCGACGGUGCGUGCGCAGAGAAAUGGGUGCGAUGACGAGGAGCGUCAAGGUGCCGGAGAGAGGAAGAGAUCAGGAGAAGGGACAUAACUAAAAAGAAUUUAUAUUGAUAAUAAUACUAGUCAGACACCAAUUACAUCAAGAUUAGCCCCAUUGGCCACGUUUGGUUCCAGAGACCAUAUUCACACCUAGACUGGCUAGAAUCAGCCGAGCUAAGCUCUGAUUCUAAUGGCUAGCACGAUUUACACUAACAGCUGAGCUACACUGAUUCUAGUGCCCUGCCAUGGGUGGUUCAUUCAGUUGGUCCAGACGAAGUAGGGGCACACGGGUCCCAUGGCCGGCGUCCAGUUGCCACACCCGAAGAAGCACUUGCCCUGCAUCGGCCCUGGCACGGACACCACGCCUCCUCUGGUCGGUACCCUGCAGUAGCAGAAGCACGUCGCAGAGGAGCCGCCGCAAGGGCUUAUCAUGUGUGGCUGCGGCGGCUGCUGCUUCUGCUGGAUCAGCGGCGGCGCCAGCGCCGAUGAGCCACCGCAAGGGCUUGUGCGAAGCUGCGGCGACUGCUGCUUCUGCUGGAUCAUCGGCAGCGGCGCCAGCGCAGAUGAGCCACCGCAAGAGCUUGUGAGAAGGUGCGGGGGCUGCUCCUUCUGCUGGAUCGGCAGCGGCGGCGCCAGCGAACCGGUGAUGGUCAUCUUGACCCCCCGCCGCAUCAGCUCAACAAGAAGCCGCGCCGUGUUGCGCGCGUCGUCCAGUCCGCAGUGCAGGCGGCCCUCCCAGUCCAGUCCCUCUGCCCUGACCGCCUCCUGAAGGGUGACCCGCCCUCCGCCGCCGAGCGCCGCCUGGAAGGGGACCCUCAGGUUGAUCCAGCGAUCGAAGUAGGAGGGCUUCUCGAUCCCCUUGAAGCGGCACUCGGACUCGAGCAUGGUGCGGCAAUCCCAAUCUCCCCAGGUCACAACGGCCAAGCUGCCUCCCCCCGCCGUCGCCGCCUUCAGCCAAGAGUCGUGCAUCCAGAGCGCCUCGCCGAGAUCCACGCCGCCGUCGACGUCCUCCUGCCGGAUGCCGGUGAGUUCCCUGCAAAAUUGGGUCAGCACAGGGUGAUGUUUUGGACGAACGUACCUGCGAAACGCGGACUCGAUGCGGCCGGUGGCGCCGUCGACGAGCACGGCGGGGAACUCAAUGAUUUCCUGCGGAAAGAUCCGCGCGUCUUUCACGCACGUCGCCUCGAAGUCCACCACCACGAAGAAGUCGAAAUCCUGCACCUGCCCCUGCCCGCGCGCCGCCAUGAUCGCUGCCAUGUUCGACGAGGUGCGCGCAAACUCCGAGAAUCGAGAUCGGGGAAACUAGGGCGGGGAAGAUCGGGGGAAGAGGGAAUCGAGAACUAGGGCAGCGAAGGUCGGGGAAAGUUGGGAUCGAAAUCUGAUUUGUUUCCUCCUCACGCUUGGGGCAGGCACAAUUUCUAAUCCAAUCCGAUACUUGUCGGAUUGGCGCGCUUUUUUUUUGACGUGGUUGGCGCUAUUCCUUUUUUUUUGCGGUGGCGCUAUUUCUAGUCCAAUCGACAAAUCAAAAGAUGUGAGAGCAACUCCGGGCGUACCGCACCGACCAAAACGGCCGCGCGUCCGUUUGUCGUUCGCCUGCCGACCCAUUUUCCCUUUUUUUGUGUGCUGACAUGUGUGCUGACCGCUCGCGAGUGCUCCAGCAUACUGUGUGGUGAUAUGUUUUGAAGCCGGUAUUGUAUGUCGGCGCUGGCAUUGGUGCCGGCAUGAGACAUGGCUGGCCGCAUGAUCUAUGGCCGCGGGCCUUUUUUAAAAAUUAAGUGCGGACAUGAAAUGGAUCGGGGCGUUGAGCGCAUGGCCGACCUAAAUCUAAAAUAGGACGGACGCCGGGCGGACGGCCGACCCAAACAGACAAAAAAGGACAAAUGUGUCGUCUGUUUGGGUCGGCCGGUUGGAGUUGCUCUGAUUAGUGGGAAAAGGACCAAUGAAUGUGCUAGAAGACUCGUUUGACUCUUCUCCGCUUUCACGUGUUCAUGUUAAGUUGGUUUUGUUGGAAUGUCCAAAAAAAGUUGGUUUUGUUGGAGUUUCUUUUUGAUGUAUCUUGCUACUUGGCUGCUUCUACUCUACUCUAGAGCCUGGGAGCAUCUACAGCCGAAAAACCCAAACCCGCGUUAAAUGUCUGGGCGAACGGCCCGGUCAUUAACCAGUCAAAAAACGACCUACCCGAGCAUCUCAAACUGCCCUCAAAUCAUCAGGUUGUCCGGAGACCUCAUAUCGAGCCCAAAUGUAGGACCGAUAUGGGAGGCCCAGGCGCGUCCGCCACGUCAGCCCGGUCCACCUCGACCCUCCUCUGUCCCCACAAAACCCACCAAUCCGGAAACCCUAACUCAGUUCACUCCGCUCUCACUCUGUCUCUUCUUCUCCCCUUACUCCGAUUUCGAUCCACUCCAAUGACUCUGACGACCAUGUCGAGUGCCGACAGCCGCUCUGACUCCGACCUUGAUGUCGGUGAGGAGAUGGCCCUCCGCAUUGCCCUCGAGAGGUCCAAGGUGGACACUGUUGGGGAACGUAGUAAUGAUUCAAAAAAAUUCCUACGUGUCACCAAGAUCAAUCUAGGAGAUGCUAGCAAUGAGAGAGAGGGAGUGCAUCUUCAUAUCCUUGAAGAUCGCUAAGCGGAAGCGCUACAAGAACGUGGUUGAUGGAGUCGUACUCGCGGCGAUUGAAAUCGCGGAAGAUCCGAUCCAAGCGCCGAACGGACGACGCCUCCGCGUUCAACACACGUACAGGCGGGGGAUGUCUCCUCCUUCUUGAUGCAGCAAGGGGGAAGAGAAGUUGAGCGAGAACUCCAGCAGCAUGACGGCAUGGUGGUGGUGGAGCUCGUGGUUCUCCGGCAGGGCUUCGUCAAGCACUACGGAGGAGGGGGAGGUGUAGAAGGGGGAAGGGCUGCGCCGGGGGGAGAGGUGCUGCUGCUCUCCCACCCCCCUCUAUUUAUAGGGUGAAGGGGAGAGGGGGGCGGCCCCCUAGAUGCAUCUAGAUGGGGGGCGGCGGCCAAGGGGGUGCUUGCCCCCCCCCAAGUGGGUGGGAGGCGCCCCCACCCCCUAGGGUUUCCAACCCUAGGCGCCUUGGGCCCUUGGGGGGCGCACCAGCCCACUAGGGGGCUGGUUCCCACCCAUAUUCAGCCCACUUGGUCCCCCCGAGGUAGGUGGCCCCACCCGGUGGACCCCGGACACCUUUCGGUGGUCCCAGUACAAUAUCAAUAACUCCGGAACCUUUCCGGUGACUGAAACUGGACUUCCCAUAUAUAAAUCUUCACCUCCGGACCAUUCCGGAACUUCUCAUGACGUCCGGGAUCUCAUCUGGGACUCUGAACAACUUUAAGUAACCACAUACAAUUUCCCAUUAUAACUCUAUCGUCACCGAACCUUAAGUGUGUAGACCCUACGGGUUCAGGAACCUUGCAGACAUGACCGAGACAUCUCUCCGGCCAAUAACUAAUAGCGGGAUCUGGAUACCCAUAUUGGCUCCCACAUGCUUCAUGAUGAUCUCAUCGGAUGAACCACGAUGUCGGGGAUUUACUCAAUCCCGUAUACAAUUCUCUUUGUCCAUCGGUAUGUUACUUGCCCGAGAUUCGAUCGUCGGUAUCCCCGUACCUCGUUCAAUCUCGUUACCGGCAAGUCUCUUUACUCGUUCCGUAACGCAUGAUCCCGUGACUAACUCCUUAUUCACAUUGAGCUCAUUAUGAUGAUGCAUUACCAAGUGGGCCCAGAGAUACCUCUCCAUCAUACAGAGUGACAAAUCACAGUCUCGAUUCGUGCCAACCCAAUAGACACUUUCAGAGAUACCUGUAGUGCACCUUUAUGGGCACCCCGUUACGUUGUGAUGUUUGAUACAACCAACGCAUUCCUACGAUAUCCGAGAGUUGCACAAUCUCAUGGUCUAAGGAAAGAUACUUGACAUUAGAAAAGCUCUAGCAAAUGAACUACACGAUCUUGUGCUAUGCUUAGGAUUGGGUCUUGUCCAUCACAUCAUUCUCCUAAUGAUGAGAUCUCAUUACUAAUGACAUCCAAUGUCCAUGGUCAGGAAACCAUAACCAUCUAUUGAUCAACGAGCUAGUCAACUAGAGGCUCACUAGGGACAUGUUGUGGUCUAUGUAUUCACACAUGUAUUAUGGUUUCCAGUUAAUCCAACUAUAGCAUGAACAAUAGACAAUUAUCAUGAACAUGGAAAUAUAAUAAUAACCAGUUUAUUAUUGCCUCUAGGGCAUAUUUCCAACAAUCUCCCACUUGCACUAGAGUCAAUAAUCUAGUUACAUUGUGAUGAAUCGAACACCCAUAUAGUUCUAGUGUUGAUCAUGUUUUGCUCGUGGAAGAGGUUUAGUCAACAGAUCUGCGACAUUCAGAUCCAUAUGCACUUUACAAAUAUCUAUGUCUCCAUCUUGAAUAUAUUCACGAAUGGAGUUGAAGCGACACUUCAUGCGCCUGGUCUUCUUGUGAAACCUGGGCUCUUUGGCAAGGGCAAUAGCUCAAGUGUUGUCACAUAAGAGAGUCGUCGGGCCCGACGCAUUGGGAAUCACUCCUAGGUUGGUGAUAAACUCCUUCAUCCAGACUGCUUCCUGUGCUGCUUCCGAAGCAGCUAUGUACUCCGCUUCACAUGUAGAUCCCGCCAUGACACUUUGCUUGCAACUGCACCAACUGACUGCCCCACCAUUCAAAAUAUACAUGUAUCCGGUUUGUGACUUGGAGUCAUCCAGAUCUGUGUCAAAGCUAGCAUCGAUGUAACCCGUUACGACGAGCUCUUCGGCACCUCCAUAAAUGAGAAACAUAUCCUUAGUCCUUUUCAGGUACUUCAGGAUAUUCUUGACCGCUGUCCAUUUUUCCAUACCAGGAUCACUUUGGUACCUCCCUACCAAACUUAUGGCAAGGUUCACAUCAGAUCUGGUACAUAGCAUGGCAUACAUAAUAGAGCCUACGGCCGAGGCAUAGGGGAUGACACUCAUCUUUUCUCUAUCUUCUGCCGAUGUUGGGCAUUGAGCUGCGCUCAAUCUCACACCUUGCAAUACAAGCAAGAACCCCUUCUUGGACUGAUUCAUAUUGAACUUCUUCAAUAUCUUGUCAAGGCAUGUGCUUUGUGAAAGACCAAUGAGGCGUCUCGAUCUAUCUCUAUAGAUCUUGAUGCCUAAUAUGUAAGCAGCUUCUCUAAGGUCCUUCAUAGAAAAACAUUUAUUCAAGUAGGCCUUUAUGCUUUCCAAAAGUUCUAUAUCAUUUCCCAUCAAUAGUAUGUCAUCCACAUAUAGUAUGAGAAAAGCUACAGAGCUCCCAAUCACUUUUUUUGUAAAUACAGGCUUCUCCAUAAAUCUGUAUAAACCCAAAACGCUUUGAUCAUUUCAUCAAAGCGAAUGUUCCAACUCUAAGAUACUUCUUUCGAGAGAAACUCUUUCUCCAGAAAGGAUCCAUUCUUGGCAACAAAGAUCUUGCCCUCGGAUCUAAGGUAGAAGGUAUACCCAAUAGUUUCCUUAGGGUAUCCUAUGAAGACGCAUUUUUCCGAUUUGGGUUCGAGCUUUUCAGGUUGAAGUUUCUUGACAUAAGCAUCGCAUCCCCAAACUUUGAGAAACGACAGCUUAGGUUUCUUCCCAAACCAUAAUUCAUACGGUGUCGUCUCAACGGAUUUAGAUGGUGCCCUAUUUAAAGUGAAUGCGGUAGUCUCUAAAGCAUAACCCCAAAAUGACAGCGGUAGAUCGGUAAGAGACAUCAUAGAUCGCACUGCAUCCAAUAGAGUGCGAUUACGACGUUAGGAGACACCAUUUCGCUGAGGUUUUCCAGGCGGCGUGAGUUGUGAAACAAUUCCAUAUUUCCUUAAGUGUGUGCCAAACUCGUGACUCAAAUAUUCUCCUCCAUGAUCUGAUCGUAGGAACUUUAUUUUCCUAUCACGUUGAUUCUCUACCUCGCUCUGAAAUUCCAUGAACUUUUCAAAGGUCUCAGACUUCUCUUUCAUUAAGUAGACAUACCCAUAUCUACUUAAGUUAUCAGUAAGGGUGAGAACAUAAUGAUAGCCACCGCGAGCCUCAACGCUCAUUGGACUGCAUACAUCAAUAUGUAUCAUUUCCAACAAGUUGGUUGCUUGCUCCAUCGUUUCGGAGAACGGAGUCUUGGUCAUUUUGCCCAUGAGGCAUGGUUCGCACGUGUCAAAUGAUUCAUAACCAAGAGACUCCAAAAGUCCAUCUACAUGGAGUUUCUUCCUGCGUUUGACACCAAUGUGACCAAGGCGGCAGUGCCACAAGUAUGUGGGACUAUCAUUAUCAACCUUACAUCUUUCGGCAUUCACACUAUGAAUAUGUGUAACAUCACGUUCGAGAUUCAAUAAAAAUAAACCAUUGACCAGCGGGGCAUGACCAUAACACAUAUCUCUCAUAUAAAUAGAACAACUAUUAUUCUCGGAUUUAAAUGAGUAGCCAUCUCACAUCAAACGAGAUCCAGAUACAAUGUUCAUGCUCAAAGCUGGUACUAAAUAACAAUUAUUGAGGUUUAAAACUAAUCCCGAAGGUAGAUGUAGAGGUAGCGUGCCGACGGCGAUCACAUCGACCUUGGAACCAUUCCCGACGUGCAUCGUUACCUCAUCCUUCGCAGUCUUCGCUUAUUCUGCGGCUCCUGUUUUGAGUUACAAAUGUGAGCAACUGCACCGGUAUCAAAUACCCAGGAGCUACUACGAGCGCGGUAAGGUACACAUCAAUAACAUGUAUAUCAUAUAUACCUUUGAUGUUGCCGGCCUUCUUAUCCACUAAGUACUUGGGGCAGUUCCGCUUCCAGUGACCAUUUCCCUUGCAAUAAAAGCACUCAGUCUCAGGCUUGGGUCCAUUCUUUGGCUUCUUCCCGGCAACUGACUUAUCGGGCGCGGCAACUCCCUUGCCGUCCUUCUUGAAGUUCUUCUUACCCUUGCCUUUCUUGAAACUAGUGGUCUUAUUCACCAUCAACACUUGAUGUUCCUUUUUGAUCUCCACCUCUGCUGAUUUCAGCAUCGAAUAUAACUCAGGAAUGGACUUCUCCAUCCCUUGCAUAUUGUAGUUCAUCACAAAGCUCUUGUAGCUAGGUGGAAGCGACUGGAGGAUUCUGUCAAUGGAAGAUUAAGUCCCAGCUGAGACAAGCGGUUGUGCAACCCAGACAUUUUGCGCAUAUGCUCACUGACAGAACUAUUUUCCUCCAUCUUACAACUGUAGAACUUGUCGGAGACUUCAUAUCUCUCAACCCGAGCAUGAGCUUGGAAAACCAUUUUCAACUCUUGGAACAUCUCAUAUGCUCUGUGUUGCUCAAAAUGCUUUUGGAGCCUCGAUUCUAAGCUGUAAAGCAUGCUGCACUGAACUAGGGAGUAAUCAUCAACACGCGACUGCCAGGCGUUCAUAACGUCUUGAGUUACGGGGAAAAUGGGUGCGUCACCUAGUGGUGCUUCAAGGACAUAUGCUUUCUUGGCAGCUAUGAGGAUGAUCCUCAAGUGACGGACCCAGUCCGUAUAGUUGCUUCCAUCAUCUUUCAGCUUGGUUUUCUCUCGGAACACAAUGAGGUUGAGGGCAACAUUAGCGUGGGCCACUGGAUCUACAGGAUAGAUUGUAAAGAAAAUUUUACACUAAGUCCAUGAUAAUUAAGUUCAUCUAAUCAAAUUAUUUAAUAAACUCCCACUCAGAUAGACAUCCCUCUAGUCAUCUAAGUGAUACAUGAUCCGAAUUGACUAGGCCGUGUCCGAUCAUCACGUGAGACGGACUAGUCAUCAACGGUGAUCAUCUCUAUGUUGAUCACAUCUACCAUACGACUCAUGUUCGACCUUUUGGUCUGUCGUGUUCCGAGGCCAUGUCUGUACAUGCUAGGCUCGUCAAGUCAACCUAAGUGUUUCGCAUGUGUAAAUAUGGCUUACACCCGUUGUAUGUGAACGUUAGAAUCAAUCACACCCGAUCAUCACGUGGUGCUUUGAAACAACGAACUUUCGCAACGGUGCAUAGUUAAGGGGAACAAAUUUCUUGAAAUUUUAGUGAGGGGUCAUCUAAUUUAUGCUACUAUCGUUCUAAGCAAUAAGAUCUAAACAUGACAGACAUCACAUGCAAAUCAUAAAGUGACAUGAUAUGGCCAAUAUCAUCUUGCACCUUUGCUCUACAUCUUUGAGGCGCGGCAUGAUCACCAUCGUCACCGGCAUGACACCUUGAUCUCCAUCAUCAUGUCUCCAUGAAGUUGUCUUGCCAACUAUUACUUCUACUACUAUUGCUAACGGUUAGCAAUAAAGUAAAGUAAUUACAUGGCGCUUAUAUUGACUCGCAGGUCAUAUAAUAAAUUAAGACAACUCCUAUGGCUCUUGCCAGUUGUCAUACUCAUCGACAUGCAAGUCGCGAUUCCUAUUACAAGAACAUGAUCAAUCUCAUACAUCACAUAUAUAAUUCAUCACAUCCUUUUGGCCAUACCACAUCACAUAGCAUACCCUGCAAAAACAAGUUAGACGUCCUCCAAUUGUUGUUGCAUGUUUUACGUGGCUGCUAUGGGUUUCUAGUAAGAAUGUUUCUUACCUACGCAAAAGCCACAACAGUGAUAUGCCAAUUGCUUUUUACCCUUCAUAAGGACCCUCUUCAUCGAAUCUGAUCCGACUAAAGUAGGAGAGACAGACCCCCGCUAGCCACCUUAUGCAACAAGUGCAUGUCAGUUGGUGGAACCUGUCUCAUGUAAGAGUACGUGUAAGGUCGGUACGGACCGCUUCAUCCCACAAUGUCGCUGAAUCAAUAUAAGACUAGCAACGGUAAGCAAAUUGACCAAAUCAUCGCCCACAACUACUUGUGUUCUACUCGUGCAUAGAAUCUACGCAUAGGCCUAGCUCAUGAUGCCACUAUUGGGGAACGUAGUAAUCAUUCAAAAAAUCCCUACAUGUCACCAAGAUCAAUCUAGGAGAUGUUGUUGGGGAACGUAGUAAUUUAAAAAAAAUUCCUACGCACACGCAAGAUCAUGGUGAUGCAUAGCAACGAGAGGGGAGAGUAUUGUCCACGUACCUUCGUAGACCGUAAGCGGAGCGUUAUGACAACGCGGUUGAUGUAGUCGUACGUCUUCACGAUCCGACCGAUCCAAGUACCGAACGUACGGCACCUUCGAGUUCAGCACACGUUCAGCUCGAUGACGAUCCCCGGACUCCGAUCCAGCAAAGUGUCGGGGAUGAGUUCCGUCAGCACGACGGCGUGGUGACGAUGAUGAUGUUCUACCGGCGCAGGGCUUCGCCUAAACUCCGCAAUGAUAUGACCGAGGUGGAAUAUGGUGGAGGGGGGCACCGCACACGGCUAAGGAACGAUCUUGAAGAUCAACUUGUGUGUCCUAGGGUGCCCCCCUGCCCCCGUAUAUACAGGAGCAAGGGGGAGGCCGGCCGGCCCUAGGGGGCGCGCCAAGGAGGAGGAGUCCUCCUCCUAGUAGGAGUAGGACUCCCUCUUUCCUACUCCUACUAGGAGGGGGAAAGGAAGGGGGAGAGGGAGAGGGAAAGAGGGGGGCGCCGCCCCCCCUCUCCUAGUCCAAUUCGGACCAGAGGGGGAGGGGGCGCGCGGCCCAUCCUAGCUGCCCCUCUCUCUCUCCACUAAAGCCCAUAAGGCCCAUUACUUCUCCCGGGGGGUUCCAGUAACCCUCCGGCACUCCGGUUUUCUCCGAAAACCCCCGGAACACUUCCGGUGUCCGAAUAUAGUCGUCCAAUAUAUCAAUCUUUAUGUCUCGACCAUUUCGAGUUUCCUCGUCAUGUCCGUGAUCACAUCCGGGACUUCGAACAAACUUCGGUACAUCAAAACUUAUAAACUCAUAAUAAAACUGUCAUCGUAACGUUAAGCGUGCGGACCCUACGGGUUCGAGAACUAUGUAGACAUGACCUAGAACUAUUCUCGGUCAAUAACCAAUAGCGGAACCUGGAUGCCCAUAUUGGCUCCUACAUAUUCUACGAAGAUCUUUAUCGGUCAAACCGCAUAACAACAUACGUUGUUCCCUUUGUCAUCGGUAUGUUACUUGCCCGAGAUUCGAUCGUCGGUAUCCAAUACCUAGUUCAAUCUCGUUACCGGCAAGUCUCUUUACUCGUUAUGUAAUGCAUCAUUCCGUAACUAACUCAUUAGCUACAUUGCUUGCAAGGCUUAUAGUGAUGUGCAUUACCGAGAGGACCCAGAGAUACCUCUCCGACAAUCGGAGUGACAAAACCUAAUAUCAAAAUACGCCAACCCAACAUGUACCUUUGGAGACACCUGUAGUACUCCUUUAUAAUCACCUAGUUACGUUGUGACGUUUGGUAGCAACCAAAGUGUUCCUCCGGUAAACGGGAGUUGCAUAAUCUCAUAGUUACAGGAACAUGUAUAAGUCACGAAGAAAGCAAUAGCAACAUACUAAACGAUCAAGUGCUAGGCUAACGGAAUGGGUCAUGUCAAUCACAUCAUUCUCCUAAUGAUGUGAUCCCGUUAAUCAAAUGACAACACAUGUCUAUGGUUAGGAAACAUAACCAUCUUUGAUUAAUGAGCUAGUCAAGUAGAGGCAUACUAGUGACUAUAUGUUUGUCUAUGUAUUCACACAUGUAUCAUGUUUCCGGAUAAUACAAUUCUAGCAUGAAUGAUAAACAUUUAUCAUGAUAUGAGGAAAUAAAUAAUAACUUUAUUAUUGCCUCUAGGGCAUAUUUCCUUCAGACUCCCACUUGCACUAGAGUCAAUAUUUACACAGUAAUGAUUCUAACACCCAUGGAGUCUUGGUGUUGAUCAUGUUUUGCUCGUGAAAGAGGCUUAGUCAACAGGUCUACAACAUUCAGAUCCGUAUGUAUCUUGCAAAUCUCUAUGUCUCCCACCUGGACUUGGUCCCGGAUGGAAUUGAAGCGUCUCUUUAUGUGCUUGGUCCUCUUGUGAAAUCUGGAUUCCUUUGCCAAGGCAAUUGCACCAGUAUUGUCACAGAAGAUCUUCAUUGGUCCCGAUGCACUAGGUAUGACACCUAGAUCGGAAAUGAACUCCUUCAUCCAGACUCCUUCAUUUGCUGCUUCCGAAGCAGCUAUAUACUCCGCUUCACAUGUAGAUCCCGCCACGAAGCUUUGUUUAGAACUGCACCAACUUACAGCUCCACCGGUUAAUAAAAACACGUAUCCGUUUUGCGAUUUAGAAUCGUCCGGAUCAGUGUCAAAGCUUGCAUCGAUGUAACCAUUUACGACUAGCUCUUUGUCACCUCCAUAUACGAGAAACAUAUCCUUAGUCCUUUUUAGGUAUUUCAGGAUGUUCUUGACCGCUGUCCAGUGAUCCACUCCUGGAUUACUUUGGUACCUUCCUGCCAAGCUUAUUGCUAAGCACACGUCAGGUCUGGUACACAACAUUGCAUACAUGAUAGAGCCUAUGGCUAAAGCAUAGGGAACAUCUUUCAUUUUCUCUCUAUCUUCUGCUGUGGUCGGGCAUUGAGUCUCACUCAACUUCACACCUUGUAGUACGGGCAAGAACCCUUUCUUUGCCUGAUCCAUUUUGAACUUUUUCAAAACUUUAUCAAGGUAUGUGCUUUGUGAAAGUCCUAUUAAGCGUCUUGAUCUAUCUCUAUAAAUCUUGAUGCCCAAUAUGUAAGCAGCUUCACCGAGGUCUUUCAUAGAAAAACUUUCAUUCAAGUAUCCCUUUAUGCUAUCCAGAAAUUCUAUAUCAUUUCCAAUUAAUAAUAUGUCAUCUACAUAUAAUAUCAGAAAUGCUACAGAGCUCCCACUCACUUUCUUGUAAAUACAGGCUUCUCCAAAAGUCUGUAUAAAACCAUAUGCUUUGAUCACACUAUCAAAGCGUUUAUUCCAACUCCGAGAUGCUUGCACCAGUCCAUAAAUGGAUCGCUGGAGCUUGCACACUUUGUUAGCAUCUUUUGGAUCAACAAAACCUUCUGGUUGCAUCAUAUACAACUCUUCUUCCAGAAAUCCAUUCAAGAAUGUAGUUUUGACAUCCAUUUGCCAAAUUUCAUAAUCAUAAAAUGCAGCAAUUGCUAACAUGAUUCGGACAGACUUAAGCAUCGCUACGGGUGAGAAAGUCUCAUCGUAGUCAACCCCUUGAACUUGUCGAAAACCUUUUGCAACAAGUCGAGCUUUAUAGACAGUUACAUUACCAUUAGUGUCAGUCUUCUUCUUAAAGAUCCAUUUAUUCUCAAUGGCUUGCCGAUCAUCGGGCAAGUCAACCAAAGUCCAUACUUUGUUCUCAUACAUGGAUCCCAUCUCAGAUUUCAUGGCCUCUAGCCAUUUUGCGGAAUCUGGGCUCAUCAUCGCUUCCUCAUAGUUCGUAGGUUCAUCAUGGUCAAGUAACAUGACUUCCAGAAUAGGAUUACCGUACCACUCUGGUGCGGAUCUUACUCUGGUAGACCUACGAGGUUCAGUAGAAACUUGAUCCGAAGUUUCAUGAUCAAUAUCAUUAGCUCCCUCACUAAUUGGUGUAGUUGUCACAGGAACUGGUUCUUGUGAUGAACUACUUUCCAAUAAGGGAGCAGGUACAGUUACCUCGUCAAGUUCUACUUUCCUCCCACUCACUUCUUUCGAGAGAAACUCCUUUUGUAGAAAGGAUCCGAAUUUAGCAAUGAAAAUCUUGCCCUCAGAUCUGUGAUAGAAGGUGUACCCAACAGUCUCUUUCGGGUAUCCUAUGAAGAAACAUUUCUCCGAUUUGGGUUCGAGCUUAUCUGGUUGAAGUUUCUUCACAUAAGCAUCGCAGCCCCAAACUUUAAGAAACGACAACUUUGGUUUCUUGCCAAACCAUAGUUCAUGAGGCGUCGUAUCAACGGAUUUUGAUGGUGCCCUAUUUAACGUGAAUGCGGCCGUCUCUAAAGCAUAUCCCCAAAACGAUAGCGGUAAAUCAGUAAGAGACAUCAUAGAUCGCACCAUAUCUAGUAAAGUACGAUUACGACGUUCGGACACACCAUUUCGUUGUGGUGUUCCGGGUGGCGUGAGUUGCGAAACUAUUCCGCAUUGUUUAAAAUGUAAACCAAACUCGUAACUCAAAUAUUCUCCUCCAUGAUCAGAUCGUAGAAAUUUUAUUUUCUUGUUACGAUGAUUUUCCACUUCACUCUGAAAUUCUUUGAACUUUUCAAAUGUUUCAGACUUGUGUUUCAUUAAGUAGAUAUACCCAUAUCUUCUUAAAUCAUCUGUGAAGGUGAGAAAAUAACGAUACCCGCCGCGAGCCUCAACAUUCAUUGGACCACAAACAUCAGUAUGUAUGAUUUCCAACAAAUCAGUUGCUUACUCCAUAGUUCAGGAGAACGGCGUUUUAGUCAUCUUGCCCAUGAGGCACGGUUCGCAAGUACCAAGUGAUUCAUAAUCAAGUGAUUCCAAAAGCCCAUCAGUAUGGAGUUUCUUCAUGCGCUUUAUACCGAUAUGACCUAAACGGCAGUGCCACAAAUAAGUUGCACUAUCAUUAUCAACUUUGCAUCUUUUGGCUUCAACACUAUGAAUAUGUGUAUCACUACUAUCGAGAUUCAAUAAAAAUAGACCACUCUUCAAGGGUGCAUGACCAUAAAAGAUAUUACUCAUAUAAAUAGAACAACCAUUAUUCUCUGACUUAAAUGAAUAACUGUCUCACAUCAAACAAGAUCCAGAUAUAAUGUUCAUGCUCAACACCGGCACUAAAUAACAAUUAUUUAGGUCUAAAACUAAUCCUGAUGGUAGAUGUAGAGGUAGCGUGCCGACCGCGAUCACAUCGACUUUGGAACCAUUUCCCACGCGCAUCGUCACCUCGUCCUUAGCUAAUCUUCGCUUAAUCCAUAGUCCCUGUUUCGAGUUGCAAAUAUUAGCAACAGAACCAGUAUCAAAUACCCAGGUACUACUGCGAGCAUUAGUAAGGUACACAUCAAUAACAUGUAUAUCACAUAUACCUUUGUCCACUUUGCCAUCCUUCUUAUCCGCCAAAUACUUGGGGUAGUUCUGCUUCCAGUGUCCAGUCUGCUUGCAGUAGAAGCACUCAGUCUCAGGCUUAGGUCCAGACUUGGGUUUCUUCUCUUGAGCAGCAACUUGUUUGCUGUUCUUCUUGAAGUUCCCCUUCUUCUUCCCUUUGCCCUUUUUCUUGAAACUGGUGGUCUUGUUGACCAUCAACACUUGAUGCUCCUUCUUGAUUUCUACCUCCGUGGCUUUUAGCAUUGCGAAGAGCUCGGGAAUAGUCUUGUCCAUCCCUUGUAUAUUAUAGUUCAUCACGAAGCUCUUGUAGCUUGGUGGCAGUGAUUGAAGAAUUCUGUCAAUGACACUAUCAUCAGGAAGAUUAACUCCUAGUUGAAUCAAGUGAUUAUUAUACCCAGACAUUUUGAGUAUGUGUUCACUGACAGAACUAUUCUCCUCCAUCUUGCAGCUAUAGAACUUAUUGGAGACUUCAUAUCUCUCAAUCCGGGCAUUUGCUUGAAAUAUUAACUUCAACUCCUGGAACAUCUCAUAUGCUCCAUGACGUUCAAAGCAUCGUUGAAGACCCGGUUCUAAGCCGUAAAGCAUGGCACACUGAACUAUCGAGUAGUCAUCAGCUUUGCUCUGCCAGAUGUUCUUAACGUCGUCAGUUGCAUCAGCAGCAGGCCUGGCACCCAGCGGUGCUUCCAGGACGUAAUUCUUCUAUGCAGCAAUGAGGAUAAUCCUCAGGUUACGGACCUAGUCCGUGUAAUUGCUACCAUAUCUUUCAACUUUGCUUUCUCAAGGAACGCAUUAAAAUUCAACGGAACAAUAGCACGAGCCAUCUAUCUACAACAAACAUAGACAAGCAAAAUACUAUCAUGUACUAAGUUCAUGAUAAAUUUAAGUUCAAUUAAUCAUAUUACUUAAGAACUCCCACUUAGAUAGACAUCCCUCUAAUCCUCUAAGUGAUUACGUUAUCCAUAUCAACUACACCAUGUCCGAUCGUCACGUGAGAUGGAGUAGUUUCAACGGUGAACAUCAAUAUGUUGAUCAUAUCUACUAUAUGAUUCACGCUCGACCUUUCGGUCUCCGUGUUUCGAGGCCAUAUCUGUUAUAUGCUAGGCUCGUCAAGUUUAACCUGAGUAUUCCGCGUGUGCAACUGUUUUGCACCCGUUGUAUUUGAACGUAGAGCCUAUCACACCCGAUCAUCACGUGGUGUCUCAGCACGAAGAACUUUCGCAACGGUGCAUACUCAGGGAGAACACUUCUUGAUAAUUUUAGUGAGAGAUCAUCUUAAAAUGCUAUCGUCAAUCAAAGCAAGAUAAGAUGCUUAAAGGAUAAACAUCACAUGCAAUCAAUAUAAGUGAUAUGAUAUGGCCAUCAUCAUCUUGUGCUUGUGAUCUCCAUCUUCAAAGCACCGUCGUGAUCACCAUCGUCACCGACGCGACACCUUGAUCUCCAUCGUAGCAUCGUUGUCGUUACGCCAUCUAUUGCUUCUAUGACUAUCGCUACCGCUUAGUGAUAAAGUAAAGCAAUUACAGGGUGUUUGCAUUUCAUACAAUAAAGCGACAACCAUAUGGCUCCUGCCAGUUGCCGAUCACUUCGGUUACAAAACAUGAUCAUCUCAUACAAUAAAAUAUAGCAUCAUGUCUUGACCAUAUCACAUCACAACAUGCCCUGCAAAAACAAGUUAGACGUCCUCUACUUUGUGGUUGCAAAUUUUACGUGGCUGCUACGGGCUGAGCAAGAACCGUUCUUACCUACGCAUUAAAACCACAACGAUAGUUCGUCAAGUUAGUGCUAUUUUAACCUUCGCAAGGACCGGGCGUAGCCACACUCGAUUCAGCUAAAGUGAGAGAGACAGACACCCGCCAGUCACCUUUAAGCACGAGUGCUCGUAACGGUGAAACCAGUCUCGCGUAAGCGUACGCGUAAUGUCGGUCCGGGCCGCUUCAUCUCACAAUACAACUGAGCCAAAGUAUGACAUGCUGGUAAGCAGUAUGACUUGUAUCGCCCACAACUCACUUGUGUUCUACUCGUGCAUAUGACAUCUACGCAUAAAACCAGGCUCUAAUACCACUGUUGGGGAACGUAGUAAUUUAAAAAAAAUUCCUACGCACACGCAAGAUCAUGGUGAUGCAUAGCAACGAGAGGGGAGAGUAUUGUCCACGUACACUCGUAGACCGUAAGCGGGAGCGUUACGACAACAUAGUUGAUGUAGUCGUACGUCUUCACGAUCCAACCGAUCCAAGUACCGAACGUACGGCACCUCCGAGUUCAGCACACGUUCAGCUCGAUGACGAUCCCCAGACUCUGAUCCAGCAAAGUGUCGGGGAUGAGUUCCGACAGCACGACGGUGUGGUGACGAUGAUGAUGUUCUACUGGCGCAGGGCUUCGCCUAAACUCCGCGACGAUAUGACCGAGGUGGAAUAUGGUGGAGGGGGGCACCGCACACGGCUAAGGAACGAUCUUGAAGAUCAACUUGUGUGUCCUAGGGUGCCCCCCGCCCCCGUAUAUAAAGGAGCAAGGGGGAGGCCGGCCGGCCCUAGGGGGCGCGCCAAGGAGGAGGAGUCCUCCUCCUAGUAGGAGUAGGACUCCCUCUUUCCUACUCCUACUAGGAGGGGGAAAGGAAGGGGGAGAGGGAGAGGGAAAGAGGGGGGCGCCGCCCCCCUCACCUAGUCCAAUUCGGACCAGAGGGGGAGGGGGCGCACGGCCCAUCCUGGCUGCCCCUCUCUCUCUCCACUAAAGCCCAUAAGGCCCAUUACUUCUCCCAGGGGGGUUCCGGUAACCCUCCGGCACUCCGGUUUUCUCCGAAAACCCCCGAAACACUUCCGGUGUCCGAAUAUAGUCGUCCAAUAUAUCAAUCUUUAUGUCCCGACCAUUUCGAGACUCCUCAUCAUGUCCGUGAUCACAUCCAGGACUUCGAACAAACUUCGGUACAUCAAAACUUAUAAACUCAUAAUAAAACUGUCAUCGUAACGUUAAGCGUGCGGACCCUACGGGUUCGAGAACUAUGUAGACAUGACCUAGAACUAUUCUCGGUCAAUAACCAAUAGCGGAACCUGGAUGCCCAUAUUGGCUCCUACAUAUUCUAUGAAGAUCUUUAUCGGUCAAACCGCAUAACAACAUACGUUGUUCCCUUUGUCAUCGGUAUGUUACUUGCCCGAGAUUCGAUUGUCGGUAUCCAAUACCUAGUUCAAUCUCGUUACCGGCAAGUCUCUUUACUCGUUACAUAAUGCAUCAUUCUGUAACUAAAUCAUUAUCAACAUUGCUUGCAAGGCUUAUAGUGAUGUGCAUUACCGAGAGGGCCCAGAGAUACCUCUCCGACAAUCGGAGUGACAAAACCUAAUCUCGAAAUACGCCAACCCAACAUGUACCUUUGGAGACACCUGUAGUACUCCUUUAUAAUCAUCCAGUUACGUUGUGACGUUUGGUAGCACCCAAAGUGUUCCUCCGGUAAACGGGAGUUGCAUAAUCUCAUAGUUACAGGAACAUGUAUAAGUCAUGAAGAAAGCAAUAGCAACAUACUAAACGAUCAAGUGCCAGGCUAACGGAAUGGGUCAUGUCAAUCACAUCAUUCUCCUAAUGAUGUGAUCCCGUUAAUCAAAUGACAACACGUGUCUAUGGUUAGGAAACAUAACCAUCUUUGAUUAAUGAGCUAGUCAAGUAGAGGCAUACUAGUGACUAUAUGUUUGUCUAUGUAUUCACACAUGUAUCAUGUUUCUGGUUAAUACAAUUCUAGCAUGAAUAAUAAACAUUUAUCAUGAUAUGAGGAAAUAAAUAAUAACUUUAUUAUUGCCUCUAGGGCAUAUUUCCUUCAGAUGCUAGCAAUGAGAGAGAGGGAGUGCAUCUUCAUACCCUUGAAGAUCGCUAAGCGGAAGUGUUACGAGAACGCGGUUGAUGGUGUCGUACUCGCGGCAAUUCAAAUCACGGAAGAUCCGAUCCAAGCGUCGAACGGACGGCGCCUCCACAUUUAACACAUGUACAACCCUGGGACGUGUCCUCCUUCUUGAUCCAGCAAGGGGGAAGGAGAAGUUGAGGGAGAACUCCGGCAGCACGAUGGCAUGGUGGUGGUGGAGCUCGUGGUUCUCCGGCAGGGCUUCGCCAAGCACUAGGAGGAGGAGGAGGAGGUGUAGGAGGGGUAAGGGCUGCGCCAGGGGGAGAGGUGCUGCUGCCCUCCCACCCCAUCUAUUUAUAGGGUGAAGGGGAGAGGGAGCCAGCCCCCCUAGAUGCAUCUAGAUGGGGGGGCAAGGGGGGGUGCUUGCCCCCAAGUUGGUGGGAGGCGCCCCCACCCCUAGGGUUUCCAACCCUAGGCGCCUUGGGGCCUUGGGGGGCGCACCAAUCCACUAGGGGGCUGGUUCCCACCCAUAUUCAUCCCACUUGGUCCCCCAGCGUAGGUGGCCCCACUCGAUGGACUCCCGGACACCUUUAGGUGGUCCCGGUACAAUACCGAUAACCCCUGAAACAUUUCCGGUGACUAAAAAUGGACUUCCCAUAUAUAAAUAUUCACCUCCGGACCAUUCUGGACUCCUCAUGACGUCCGGAACCUCAUCCGGGACUCCGAACAACUUUCGGUAACCACAUACAAUUUCCCAUUACAACUCUAGCGUCACUGAACCUUAAGUGUGUAGACCUUACGGGUUCAGGAACCAUGAAGACAUGACCGAGACAUCUCUCCGGCCAAUAACCAAUAGCGGGAUCUGGAUACCCAUACUGGCUCCCACAUGUUCCACGAUGAUCUCAUCGGAUGAACCACGAUGUCAGGAAUUCAAUCAAUCCCGUAUACAAUUCCCUUUGUCCAUCGGUAUGUUACUUGCCCGAGAUUCGAUUGUACGUAUCCCCGUACCUCAUUCAAUCUCAUUACCGGAAGGUCUCGGUCCCAUCGAAAUGAGCGAAUCGGUCCCACCAAGUUUGUCUGGCCAACUCUCUAUGUGCCUAUUACUAAAAUCUGUUCCACCGAGUUCAUGUGAUCGGUCACACCGAGAUUAUGUUAUUCCCUAACCCUAAUGCAUCGGCCUCACCGAGUUGAUCAUAUCGUUCCCAUCAAAAAUCCUAACAUUCAUAUUUUUACCUAAAUCAGUCUAACCGAGUUUUACCAUUCGGUCUCACCGAGUUUGGGAAUCUGUGUGUAACGGUUAGAUUUUUUGUGGAGGCUAUAUAUAUCCCUCCACCCAUUAUUCAUUCCUGGAGAGAGCCAUCAGAAUGUGCCUACACUUCCACCAUUCAUUUUUUGAGAGAGAACCACCUACUCAUGUAUUGAGACCAAGACAUUCCAUUCCAACCACAAGAAUCUUGAUCCCUAGCAUUCCCCAAGUUGCUUUCCACUCAAAUCAUCUUUCCACCAUAGCCAAAUCUAUGAGAGGGAGUUGAGUGUUGGGGAGACUAUCAUUUGAAGCACAAGAGCAAGGAGUUCAUCAUCAAUGCACCAUCUAUUACCUUGUGGAGAGUGGUGUCUACUAGAUUGGUUAGGUGUCACUUGGGAGCCUCUGUCAAGAUUGUGGAGUUGAACCACGGAGUUUGUAAGGGCAAGGAGAUCGCCUACUUCAUGAAGAUCUACCCAAGUGAGGUAAGUCCUUCGUGGGCGAUAGCCAUGGUGGGAUAGACAAGGUUGCUUCUUCGUGGACCCUUCGUGGGUGGAGCCCUCCGUGGACUCGCGCAGUCGUUACCCUUCGUGGAUUGAAGUCUUUAUCAGCGUGGAUGUACGAUAGCACCACCUAUCGGAACCACGCCAAAAAUCUCUGUGUCAACAUUGUGUUUGCUCCCUCCAAACUCCUCUCAUUUACUUUCUUGCAAGUUGCGUGCUUUAGUUUCCGCUGCUCAUAUACUCUUUGCAUGCUUGCUUGAAUUGUAUUGUGAUUGCUUGACUUGUGCUAAGUUGCUAAAAUCUGCCAAGAAUUAAAAUUGGGAAAAGGCUAGGUUUUUAAUUGCUCAAGUAGUCUAAUCAGCCCCCCCCCCUCUCGACAUACUUUCGAUCCUACACAUCCCAAUUGCCAGCCACUCUCUCAUGAAUGAUUAGUGAAUAAACACUAAUCAUGAGAUAACCCACCUAGCAUGGAAGAUACUGACAGCCCCUAGUUGCUACAUGAGCGAUUCAGGCAUAUAAAACAGAUUAUUAUUUGAAGGUUUAGAGUUUGGCACAUGCAAAUUUACUAGGAAUGACAGGUAAAUACCGCAUAUAGGUAGAUAUGGUGGACAUUCAUGGAAGAAACUUGGUUCAAGGAUUUUGGAUGCACAAGCAGUAUUCCCGAGUACAUAAAUUUUGGCUACGAAGGAUUCUAAAUAGCAAGCACCACAUGUUGGAGGAUCCAUAACAAUAUAACUUCUAUACAAAUAUACCCAAGCAUAACUCAUUAUGUUGUCUUCCUUGUACAACUUCAACUAAUUUGCUCAGGUUUGAAAAAAAUUAAUGGGGCUCACAAUCAUAGAAGAUGUCCAAGAUAGUAUAUUUAUAUGUGAAAUCUCUCUUCCUUCAAUAUUAUUUCAUGAAUUGUUCAAGUGACCAAUACAAUGUUUGGUAACUUUCAAUAAAUUUACCACCUCUACUUCUUAUAUGUGAAGUCAUUACUCCCAUGAAGUAAGCAUAUGAAACAUAUAUAAUUUCAGAUUUAUGACAUUCAAAUCAUUCAACCAUUUACUCAUAGGAUGUAAGUGAAGCACGUGAGUAAAUGACAAACUACUCCAAAAGAUAUGAGUGAAGAUCAAUGAGUAGUCAAAUAAUUAUUUAGCUAUGUGAGGACUCUCUCUCAUUUAAGUAUUUUGGAUCUUAAGUACUUUGUUCAAACAGCAAGCAAAUCCUACUAAAAUAAAAUGACGCUCCAAGCAAAACACAUAUCAUGUGGUGAAUAAAAAUAUAGCUCCAAGUAAAGUUACCUAUGAACAAAGACGAAAGAGGGGAUGCCAUCCGGGCAAUCCCAAGCUUAGUUGCUUGGGUAUUCCUUGAAUAUUACCUUGGGGUGCCUUGGGCAUCCCCAAGCUUAGGCUCCUGCCAAUCCUUGUUCCUUAUUCCAUCGAAACUUCACCCAAAACUUGAAAACUUCACAAUGCAAAACUCAACAGAAAAUCUUAUGAGAUCCAUUAGUAUAAGAAAGAAAAUCACCACUUAUGUACUGUUGUGAACUCAUUCUAAAUUUAUAUUGGUGUUAUAUCUACUGUAUUCCAACUUAUCCAUUGUUCACACCCUCCGAUACUAGUCAUAGAUUCAUCAAAAUAAGCAAACAACACAUAGAAAACAGAAUCUGUUUAAAACAGAAUAUGUUUAAAAUAGAACAUUCUGUAGUAAUAUGAAAACUUUCCAUACUUCUGUAACUCCAAAAAUUCUGAAAAUUUAGUAAAAUCUAGGAAAUUUGUAUAUAAAUCGUGUGUAAAAAAUUCAGAUCAAAAUCACGUUUCGGUGAAUUUUCAAAAUUCCUGGACUGAGAGCAAAAGUUUUUGUUUUUGCACAGAAUCAAGCUAACUAUCACCAUAAACCAUCCCAAAGGUCUUACUUGGCACUUUAUUGAAACAAAAGCUAUAAACAUGAUUACUAAAUUAUCUUAAUCAUGUGAACACACAAAAACAGUAGGGGUAAAUGUUGGGUUGUCUCCCAACAAGUGUUUUUCUUUAAUGCCUUAUUAGCUAGGCAUGAUGAUUUCAAUGAUGCUCACAUAAAAGAUAAGAAUGGAAACACAAAGAGAGCAUCAUGAAGCAUAAUACUAGCACAUUUAAGUAUAACCCACUUUUUUAUGCAUAGGGAUUUUGUGAGCAAACAACUUAUGGGAACAAGAAUCAACUUGCAUAGGAAGGUAAAACAAGCAUAACUUCAAGAUUUUCAACACAUAGAGAGGAAACUUGAUAUUAUUGCAAUAUGUGGAAGGAUAAAUUCCUCCCUCAUAAUAAUUUUUAGUAGCAUCAUGAAUGAAUUCAACAAUAUAGCUAUCACACAAAGCAUUAUUUUCAUGAUCUACAAGCAUAGAAAUUUUACUACUCUCCACAUAAGCAAAAUUCUUCUCAUCAAUAGUAGUGGGAGCAAACUCAACAAAAUAACUAUCAUGGGACUGAAAAUUAAAGUCAAGAUGACAAGUUUCAUGGUUAUCAUUAUUCUUUAUAGCAUACAUGUCAUCACAAUAAUCAUCAUAGAUAGGAGGCAUGCUUUCAUCAUAAUAAAUUUGCUCAUCAAAACUUGGGGGACUAAAAAUAUCAUCUUCAUCAAACAUAGCAUCCCCAAGAUUAUGGCUUUGCAUAUCAUUAGCAUCAUGGAUAUUCAAAGAGUUCAUACUAAUAACAUUGCAAUCAUGCUCAUCAUUCAAAGAUUUUGUGUCAAACAUUUUAUAGACUUCUUCUUGUAACACUUGAGCACAAUUUUCCUUUCCAUCCUUUUCACGGAAGACAUUAAAAAGAUGAAGCGUAUGAGGAAACCUCAAUUCCAUUUUUUGUAGUUUUCUUUUAUAGACUAAACUAGUGAUAAAACAAGAAACUAAAAGAUUCGAUUGCAAGAUCUAAAGAUAUACCUUCAAGCACUAAUCUCCCCAGCAACGGCGGCAGAAAAGAGCUUGAUGUCUAAUACGCAACCUUCUUAUUGUAGACUCGUGUUGGGCCUCCAAGCGUAGAAUUUUGUAGGACAGUAGAAAAUUUCCCUCAAGUGGAUGACCUAAGGUUUAUCAAUCCAUGGGAGGCAUAGGAUGAAGAUGGUCUCUCUCAAACAACCCUGCAACCAAAUAACAAAGAGUCUCUUGUGUCCCCAACACACCCAAUACAAUGGUAAAUUGUAUAGGUGCACUAGUUCGGCAAAGAGAUGGUGAUACAAGCGUAAUAUGGAAAGUAGAUAUAUGUUUUUGUAAUCUAAAAAUAUAAAAACAGCAAGGUAAAUAGUAACGAAAGUGAGCAAAAACGGUAUUGCAAUGCUUAGAAACAAGGGCUAGAGUUCAUACUUUCACUAGUGCAAGUUCUCUCAACAAUGAUAAUAUAAUUAGAUCAUAUAAAAAUCCCUCAACAUGCAACAAAAAUUCACUCCAAAGUCACUAAUAGCGGAGAACAAACAAAGAAAUUAUUGUAGGGUACGAAACCACCUCAAAGUUACUCUUUCUGAUCGAUCUAUUGGGCUAUUCCUAUAAGUGCCACAAACAGCCCCAGAGUUCAUACUAAAAUAACACCUUAAGAUACACAUCAACCAAAACCCUAAUGUCACCUAGGCACUCCAUUUUCACCACGAGUACCCGCGAGUUUGAUUAUACGAUAUGCAUCACACAAUCUCAGAUUAAGCUAUUCAAACCAACACAAAGAACUUCAAAGAGUGCCCCAAAGUUUCCACCGGAGAGUCAAGACGAAAACGUGUGCCAACCCCUAUGCAUAAGUUCACAAGGUCACGGAACCCGCAAGUUGAUCACCAAAACACACAUCAAGUGGUUCACGUGAAUAUCCCAUUGUCACCACAGAUAUUCAUAUGCAAGACAUACAUCAAGUGUUCUCAAAUCCUUAAAGACUCAAUCUGAUAAUAUAACUUCAAAGGGAAAACUCAAUUCAUCACAAGAAGGUAGAGCGGGAGAAACACCAUAUGAUCCGACUAUAGUAACAAAGCUUGCGGUACAUCAAGAUCGUGCCAAAUCAAGAACACGAGAGAGAGAGAGAGAGAGAGAGAGAGAGAGAGAAAGAGAGAGAUCAAACAGAUAGCUACCGGUGCAUACCCUCAGCCCCGAGGGUGAACUACUCCCUCCUCGUCAUGAAGAUCGCCGGGAUGAUGAAGAUGGACACCGGUGAUGGAAUCCCCCUCCGGCAUGGUGCCGGAACGGGCUCCCGAUUGGUUUUUUGUGGCUACAGAGGCUUGCGGUGGCGGAACUCUCGAUCUAGGUUCUGUUCUGGAGGUUUUGGGAUUUAUAGGAAGUGCUGGCAUCAGGGACAAGUCAAGGGGGCCCACAAGGCGACGACAAGGACGGGGGGACGCCCUAGGGGGCGCACCCUCCACUCUUGUGGUGGCCUCUGGACUCUUCUCCGACAUCUUUUUGUUCCAAUAUUUUUUAUAUUUUCCAAAAAUAUUCUCCGUAAAUUUUCAGGUCAAUUGGACUUCGUUUGAUACUCCUUUUCUGUGAAACUCAAAAACAAGGAAAAAAUAGAAACUGACAUUGGGCUCUAGGUUAAUAGGUUAGUCCCAAAAAUCAUAUAAAAUAGCUUAUAGAUGCAUAUAAAACAUCCAAGAUAGAUAAUAUAAUAGCAUGGAACAAUCAAAAAUUAUAGAUACGUUGGAGACUUAUCAUCUCUCGGGCAGGAGGGCCGGGCCGAGUACUCCCGUAACGAUUUACUAGUGGGACACGUUUUUCAGGCCUAUGGGGCUAAGAAGGGAUGUUUCCGAAGGCUUGGCACGUACUCCAAGACUUAGAAGUCGUCUACAUCAUGAUUACCCUAGAUGUAACCAACCUAUGUGUAAACCCUAGACCCCCGGGCAUCUAUAUAAGUUGAGGGGGAGGGCUAGUAGACGACACACAGUGAUCUCGUGGUAGAUCAACCCAUAAUCUGUACUCCCUUGAAAUUAAUAUAAUCAAAGCAGGACGUAGGGUACUAUCUCUUCGAGCGAGCCCGAACCUGGGUAAGUUCAAGUGUCCCUGUUAUCAUCGCACCAAGGCUACCUGUUGGGAACCCCCUACCCGAGAGAUCUGCUAGAUUUUACUCCAUCAUUAGAAAGAUUCAGUUUUCAUGGGAGCAAAUUCACACCACAUAUUAAUAAUGUAUAUAUUCUGGGAGCAAAUUCACACGUCAUGCAUGUCAUAAUGAAAUAUAUGUUAACUAGGUUCCUAUAUUCAAAUUUAUGCAUAACCUUUUAUUUAUAAACUAGUGAAGGCUUUGGUAUACACCAAACCAAACUAGUCACACUCUAGAUGAGCUUAUCAAAUAUCAAAUCAUAUGUGUGCAAAGUAGAGUCUUCAAUUUUCCAUGUUCUUUGAUGAUUACUAUAACUAUGUUAUCUAAAGUAUAAGUACAAAUCAUGCACAUGUUGCCAAUUUGUUAAUGAACUCAAGUUGCAAGACACAUUUGGCAUACCCUACAAGUUUGUAUAAGCUUACCAAAUAAUACACUAGAAACGGAAAUUCAAUUCGGCUCCCGGGCUCAAAAAUAAUUUUCAAAAUGUCAAAAAAAUAAAGACAAAAUUUUUAUAUGUUGUUAAACACAUCCAAAUGCUACCUGCAAAUUUUGAGGCAAAAAAGUUAAGAAUUUUGGCCUGUGCCAAAAAAAAAAUAGAAUGAACACCAAAUGUUACCGCCAAAUGUCACCUCAAAUUUGUUUUAUUCACCGACGAAACACUGCUACUCCAUUUCGCAUGAAAAUUGUCAAGCAUGCUUAUGACACUAACACUAACAUCCAAAAAAUUCAUAAUUUUUUGAGAACAUUUACUAUUUUUUUCGCGUUACUGUUCACUCGAGAACAUGUGCUCCCGGGAGCCAAAACGCCCAUCCCCACUAGAAACCACUGUUAAUAUCAUAAUAUGUAUGUUGGAUUGUAUGCUUUACAAAUCUCUGUCAUGAUAUUUAAUGAUAUUAAUAUAUACGAACACACACAUGAAAAUGUAUAUUUAUACACGCUAUAGCUAACACUCCCUUUGUAACUUAAUUAAUAUAAGACGUUUCUUGACACAACGAUAGUGGCAAAAAACGUCUUAUAUCAAGUUACGGAGGGAGUAAUUUAAAAAAAUCAAAGAGAUUUUUUUUUAUAUUAUGCAAUUUAAAUUUAGGAGAAGCGAUUUUUUUUGUGAUAUACAUUUAAACUACAUAUCAACCGGAGAACACUAUAAGUAUUAUUUAGUGAAAUUUUUAUGUUGUUGACUACGCUAGCUAAGUAAUAUCAAAGUGUACUAAUUAAAGCUACAUUAUUAUACAACUAGUUUAAAUAAGUACAAAAGUUUAUUAUAAUGAUAUGUAUUUCACUACGCCUGGUGUCCUACCAGCCACCCCGAUCAGCACAUUCAAAAGCGCCUCUGAGAACUUCUUGUACGAGAGUUGAUGCGCCAGCCCGAGCCAUUGCGUGCCUUUUGCAAAUAGAUGACAAUCCUCUAUAUUAUUAGAACACAUAGAUGCAUGCAACAGCAGGAUGCAUUGAUCGACAAGACCGGUUGCAUGUACACUUACUACACGCAGUGUCUUGUCGUCGCCGUCGUAGUCCGUCCGAGCAAAGACCCCAUCUCUGGCUGACACAUCGCCACCGUUGAGCAGCACCACCACCACCAGCCCCACCAACAGCAAGGCACUCUUCAGUGCCAUCUCUCAUAGUGGCUGCCCACUCCCACUGAGAAUUAAUGUUCUGCUACUAAACACAAAAUAUUACUUGCAGUUUGUGUUGCAGGGAGCGGUUGUUAUAUAAGGGAAAUGCAACACUUCUAUUUGGCCAUACCGGUCAAACAAACCUCCAAUAUUAUCUUGUCGUGAAGGCAUGGAUAUGGAUGCCAUGCCCCUACAUGCACUCUUUUUUACCAUAUGUACACAAUGCAUACAAAUUCUGCUGAUGCUAUGAUAUAUAUGAUGCAGUCUUUUGACCACUACAUCCACGCAUAUUCCGCCUGGGAAAGUAGUGGCUAUGCUCAUGUUGGAUGCACCCACGCUACACCCCCCUUGCCUCCACUGUAUUGGCAUCUGUUCCCUGAGAAUUGUGCCAAGCAUAGGAGACUCAAAUCACGAGUCAGAGAGGGUGGUAGACAUAAAGGAAACCCUAAGCUAUGGAAGGGGAAGCAAAAGGAGCACAUAUCUUUCAAGACGUUGUUCGCGCUCAACAUCUUUCCACAUAACAAUACUGGAGAAGGUUUGGCUUUCAUACUCACAAAUAGCCCGUCAUUGCCAAGGAACAGUAAUAGCCAGUGGCUCGGCGUAUGCAACAACUAGGCAGAUGGCACACCGAUGAACCGAAUAGUAGCCAUGGAAUUCAACACGAGGAAGAGCUAUGAGGAUGAACUUGAUGGCAACCAUGUCGGGCUCGAUUUGAAGAGCAUCAAAUUUGUUAUCAGUGCCCACUCAACAAUCCUUUUAUCAUCCUAUCAAGUGUUCAUGAUGUCUUGGUCAGUACAUCUACAACUGAACAUCACAUGUUUUUGUAUUGUAUAUAAUCCAACCUAACACAAGUGACAGUAGGGGACAUAAUUGGUGAGAGAGUUGACCCGUUGAUCUAUCACAAUACCUAUUAGACAAAAUAUAUCUAGGAUUCACAGGUCCCACAUGUGAUUUGGAAAAGAUAAAAAUCUUGAAACUUCACCACGAUAGACGACAUACUCAUGGCUAAAAGAACAAGACAUGGGAAGCGGGUGUUUUUGCUCUCAUUGCCUUGGUUUUGCUUUUUGCGUGUUCAUCAUUGCUUGUUGCCAAGAGCAUGCAGUAUUUUCUCCGGUUUUUUCUUCAUUGAUAAUACAUAGUGCCGGUCGCCGAAACACCAAACAUGGGCAGUUUUUUUAUUCUGAUCGUGCCAACCCACGACCACUGACCCACAACCAACUAGCUACCACUGGUGCAACGACAUCCUACACAAACGGUUUUUACCCCAUUUCGGCGACACGGUUUUAAACCGUCACCUUGCCUAUGUGGGCGAUAUGGGGUCCAUCACACACGACCCAGAUAAAUCGUCUACAAUAGUGAUCGAUGAUGCAAAUGCUCUGCCAAAUGCAAUCGUAUGCGUUGCAGGAACAUGUCGCCCACACACUAUAUUUUGACAAACACGUGGGAUUGAGGGUCCAUCGCACAUGUCUCUAACGAGUCAAACACGUCUAAUUGCUCGGGGAACCCAAACAGUGUGUGACUUUUGACCAUUUUGCGAAAUAUUACCUAAGCCUGGACAAGCUCUUGUUUGCCAAUGCCACGACAACCACGUCCUCGUGAAACGGAAUAAUCUGUGAUGUGGCAUCUGCGCGCGACUACCUUCACCACUACAGCAACAAGAGGAUCCUCCACGGGGACGUCAAGGCCAGCAAUGUGAUGCUCGACGAGGAAUACAACGUGCGGCUGGGCGACUCUGGCCUCGCCCAUGCCAUCUAGCUCGACGGAGCGACACACCACUCGAUGCAGGCAGUUGCAGCACUCGGGGCUACGUGGCGCACGAGAGCUUCUUCACCAGUCGUGCCAGCCCUGGCAUGCACAUGUGUGCCUUCGGCAUCUUUGCCAUGGAGUGGGUGUGGGUGUGGGUGAGACAACUAAGGGUGUGUUUUGGAUGAGAAACCAAAUAGAACGGAAUGAAAUUUCAUGGUGCAACGGGUAGGUUUCAUUCCUGUGUUUGGUUGAAUCUAUAAAAUGGAAUGAUUUCCCUUCUUGUGUUUAGUUGGAAAAAUGGAAUGAAACAAAUUUGAUUCAGCUCACCUCUUUGAUAGAGAUGGUGAGAUUGCGUCCCAUAUGUACAUAGGUAGAUCUUAUACAAUCACCCCGCAAAAAAAAGGUAGAUCUUAUACAAUCGAAAUAAUUAUAGCCUUCGUAAUUUCAGCAACAUACUACUCCCUCCGUUCCAAAACAAGUGACUAACUUUAUACUAACUUUGUACUAAAAUUACCAUGUGACAUAUGUGGUAAUCAAUCGAAACAAUUCAAAAAAGAACUUUAUACUAAAGUUAGUACAAAGUUAAGUCACUUAUUUUAAAACGGAAGGAGUAUUUGAUUUGAACUUUCGGUAAUAUACUCGACUUUUCAAUAGCAAUUUAUUUGUAUUUCUAGCGCAAUCAAUAAGUAAUAUACACUUGCAAGCAUAAUGAAUAUAUACAUCAAUUCACUGCUCAAUUUGAGAGUAUAAAUACAUACUGGAUCACGGUGCUAAAGGUAGACAUUUUUUAAUAUUAGAUAGAGACAAACAAAGAUCCAACUCGGUGUUCGGGCUCCAGUGAAGAGUAAUGCGAUUUAAAAUAGAAAAAAAAUAAAAAAAACUGAAUCUUUUUUUGCAAGCAAGAUGUGCAUGUGUGUGAUGUUCAUGCAAAAUUUGGUGAUGUUUGGAUAUUCAAGUAGCGCACAGCAAAAAAAUAAAUCCAGGCAUGAACAGUGAUGUAUUUCAAAUGUUUCCCUCAGACCUGAAUUUGUUUUUCUUUUUGUCACAAGCUCCUCGAAAGUUCAAAUUCUCCAAAUUUGGCACGGACAUCACACACUCCAACAUCUUUCACCACAGAAAAAUGAAUUUUUUAAUUUGUUUUCCAUCUUAAAUUGCGUUACUGUUCACUCCCUGGAUCGUCUUUGCCCGGCAGCCAAAACGCUGCUGAGAAAGAGAUAGAUAGACAGAUAGAUAGGUAAUGUAGGUAGAUACAAGCAGAUGUAUACAUCAAAAGCUACUCCCUCCGUCCCAUAUAGGACGUUUUUGCAGUUUAAAUUGAACUGCAAAAACGUCUUACAAUAUGGGACAGAGUAGUAAAUCUAAACAAUAACUGUUUCCAUGUAACGCAUGUUCUUGCAAGUACAUUUGCUACACAGUUUUGCCAUUGUUUAACGCUUUAUAAUGUCAACUAUUGCACUCUUCCUCUCAUUCUAGUAUAUGCCUGUAUACAUAUUUCGACAAAACUGAGCUGCCUUCCUGCUGGCUUCAAUUUGCUUUCUCUAUAUGCAUGUAUGAGUAAGACUGGGAAUACAGACCAGACCAGUCCAGAAAAAUGACGAUCAGGUCUGUAUCCCUUUUCCUAUGAUGUUAGUCCCGUGACGUCCCUUGGAAUCAGAAACAAAAAUCCGAUAGGUAAGAGAGUGCCCAUCAGCUGAACAGUUAGGCUGAGCGUCAGAUUGUCAAACUGUACCGACGAGAUGUUCAAAGCUGACGUCAAUGCAGCUCCAAGGAAUGAACCUAAUGUCGAACUGAGGUUGUUAAUGGACAUGAACAGAGCAAACAGUGUGCCCUCGAUUCCAGGCGGGCAAAGCUGUCCUGAGAGGAUUAGGAACGGCAUCAUCCUGCCAAAUGAAAACAAUAAAGUUAGAAACGCUAUUGCGUAAAUGUGUAGGUAAGGUGUC